AAAGGAGUGAUCCGGCAGAGGAUGGACAUGCGGCGCAUUAGCUAGUCGGCGGGGUAACGGCCCACCGAGGCUACGAUGCGUAGGGGUUCUGAGAGGAAGGUCCCCCACACUGGUACUGAGACACGGACCAGACUCCUACGGGAGGCAGCAGUGAGGGAUAUUGGUCAAUGGGCGGAAGCCUGAACCAGCCAAGUCGCGUGAGGGAAGACGGUCCUAUGGAUUGUAAACCUCUUUUGCAGGGGAGCAAGGCGCGGUACGUGUACCGCGAAGGAGAGUACCCUGAGAAAAAGCAUCGGCUAACUCCGUGCCAGCAGCCGCGGUAAUACGGAGGAUGCGAGCGUUAUCCGGAUUUAUUGGGUUUAAAGGGUGCGCAGGCGGACUGUUAAGUCAGCGGUAAAAUGUCGGUGCUCAACACCGGCCGGCCGUUGAAACUGGCAGCCUUGAGUGAGCGAGAAGUAUGCGGAAUGCGUGGUGUAGCGGUGAAAUGCAUAGAUAUCACGCAGAACUCCGAUUGCGAAGGCAGCAUACCGGCGCUCAACUGACGCUCAGGCACGAAAGCGUGGGUAUCGAACAGGCUUAGAUACCCUGGUAGUCCACGCAGUAAACGAUGAAUGCUCACUGUCCGGGCCGUUUAAGGCCUGG
rnacentral:rRNA from 1 species